UACGUAGGGGGCCAGCGUUGUUCGGAAUUACUGGGUGUAAAGGGUUCGUAGGCGGUGCGGCAAGUUGGGAGUGAAAUCUCUGGGCUUAACCCAGAGGCUGCUUCCAAAAACUGCUGUGCUUGAGUGUGGGAGAGGCGCGUGGAAUUGCAGGUGUAGCGGUGAAAUGCGUAGAUAUCUGCAGGAACACCCGUGGCGAAAGCGGCGCGCUGGACCACUACUGACGCUGAGGAACGAAAGCUAGGGGAGCAAACAGG
rnacentral:rRNA from 1 species